rnacentral:rRNA from 1 species
AAGCGCUUGCAGCCAGACUUGCCUGUAGUUGCUUAUCCAGACUCUUGUCUGGUGCACUCUUCUGCGGGCAGGCCAGCAUCAGUUUGGGCGGUUGGAUAAAGGCCUCUAUCACGUACCUCCUUUCGGGGAGGCCUUAUAGGGGAGGCGCCAUGCAACCAGCCCAGACUGAGGUCCGCGCAUCUGCUAGGAUGCUGGCGUAAUGGCUGUAAGCGG